GGAGGCUACUUUGUCAGUUCAAUCUUUAUGGUUCUUUAUGAAAGAUGCUCCCGAAGUAUGAACUGCCACAGACAUAAGCGACUUAUUUGGGGGGAAAAAAGUGCUUCAUCUAAAACAGUAGGCGUGGCUGUUGUUGGUGGUGUUUUGUUUCUAUUGAUUUCUUUCUUUUUUUAUUGUGUUUAAUUUAUUUACUCUGAGUGAAGCCACCGCAUGCCGUCUCUCAACGUAGAUGGAAAGAGAGGCUCCACCUUUGAAAGGACGUGAUUGGUUAUGUAAAUAAACUAGUCAUUCUCCUCGGGCUCUACGCUGUAAUCUACUGUAUGGAUAAUUAAAUCAUCAAUCAAGGGGCUGGACUAUUUGAUGCCUUUGUUCAAAGCCAAUCAGAUCCAAGUGAAGUCGGAAGCGUAGUGAGAGGAAAGGUGUUCAACAUCUGGAAUUAAGAAACGCGGCUCAGGCUGUGGAGUGUAGACAGAUUACCACUUAGAAGAACUAGUCCCUUGAGAGACUUUUUACAUAACAGAUCUCAUUCCGGAUAAGGGAAGGAUAGAGAGGGCUGCCAUUAUUAUUGUUAUUAUUAUUAUUAUUUUUAUUAUUAUUAUUAUUAUUAUUGUUAUUAUUAUUAUUAGCUUGUAACCAUUCUGUUUGCACAUUUGGAAAGCUGUAUAUAAAAGGUUUUCACCCCCGGUGACUAUAAGAGUCCGUUAAGAGCGGCUUCACUAAUGGUAAGUAUGCUUUAAAUCAAACCUCUGCAACCGGUGCACAGGCAGCGUCCUCUCCUCCUGGUGUGCCUGGAUAAUGUCUACAAAGUAAGUUUGAGAUAGUGGACUCGAUUUGGAGAGGCAGCUUUCAGUGCUCGAAUUUAGGAUCCGUUUGGGGAGGCAGAUACGCAGACGAUUCCUGCGUUACAUUCCGAUCAAGGACUGAGGUCCAAUUUGUGUGUGUGUGUGUGUGUGUGCGUGUGUGAGAGCGCGCGCGUGUGUGCGUGUGUGUGUGUGUGUGUGUGUGUGUGUGUUUAUGUGUUUGUGACACUCUAAUUCCCGCAGCUCAAAGCUGCCGCUAUCCGUCCGUUCAUCCUUAUACACCGAGUGAGUGAGACUCGCGCUAUUUGCCAGAACAUUAUACAUGGCGUGAAAUGGGAUUAGUCCAUAGUCAACCUAUGGAUUGACGUGGAGGGCAACAUGCCUGCUCAAUUUAGUUGCAAAAAACCUACCCAGAAUAGCAGAAGCCGUUUGCCUCCCAAAAACAUGCACAUAUUUGCUGGUCUUUGUUGAUUUCAGCCCUUUACAAGGCAAGGCUGUUCGGGUCAGGAAGUCAAACGCGACAGCAUUCUCAUACAAGUUGAGAUGCACAUGUGAGCAUGUAAUAAGCAUACACGCUUACCAUAUGCUUUUACAAGACAAUUGUGCCCAUCAUUAAAAACACAUUGUUAAUGUCAUGCUUAGUAAAUAUGGUAAAAGUUCAUUGACCUAUGCAAUGCAUACGAGACCAUUUUGAAUCACGUUUACAAGCACUGCCAGAUGGCUGCAGCCUAUAGAAAAAAAAAUAAGCAUUUAUGCAGAUCAACAUUCAACUGGAAAGACAAACAAACAUACUAAUGUCAUAAAUGCCCAUUAUUUCAUUUGUAGGCUUUAGCAGGCAUAGUAUGAUAUAGCUAUAAUUUAGAACAUCUGUUUUAAGCCAACAUGACACCUGGCACUACAAUCAGUGAAAUCUCUUUAUGUGGAUAUCCAGAAUGAUCCGUGUCUAUUUGAAUACACCAUAUUGUAGCAGACAUGCUAGCUAUGUUAAAUGUAUUUUAAGUAUGUUUUUAAACAUUUAUAUCAUCUUAUUAUUAAAAAAUAGGUCAGAUAUUUUGUAUACAGAGUUAGCUCUCAAUAUAGCUUCUAGUAGCACAACAAAAGCUUACUAUUGUAUAAUG